GUCUAUGGCCAUGCCAUCCUGCACAAGCCCAAUCCCGUCUGAUCUCGGAAGUUAAGCAGGGUUGGGCCUGGUUAGUGCUUGGAUGGGAGACCACCUAGGAAGACCAGGUGCUGUAGGAG
rnacentral:rRNA from 1 species